CCAUAGCCCCGAUAGCAGCGACAUCCUUUUUUGUUUUCUAUUGCUAAUGUUAUUUUUAUGGACUAUCGUUCUGAAAACAAAAAAGAUAUAGCGGAUAGCGGGAUUAAGC
rnacentral:sRNA from 1 species